CAACAGCUCAAAUUUGAAAUCUGAUCUCUUCGAGGUCCGAGUUGUAAUUUGUAGAGGGCGCUUUGGUGUUGGCUGCGGUCUAAGUUCCUUGGAACAGGACGUCAUAGAGGGUGAGAAUCCCGUCUGUGGUCGCAUGCCUUCACCGUGUAAAGCCCCUUCGACGAGUCGAGUUGUUUGGGAAUGCAGCUCUAAAUGGGAGGUAAAUUUCUUCUAAAGCUAAAUACUGGCCAGAGACCGAUAGCGCACAAGUAGAGUGAUCGAAAGAUGAAAAGCACUUUGGAAAGAGAGUCAAACAGCACGUGAAAUUGUUGAAAGGGAAGCGCUUGCAGCCAGACUUGCUUGCAGUUGCUCAUCCGGGCGUUCGCCCGGUGCACUCUUCUGUAGGCAGGCCAGCAUCAGUUUGGGCGGUUGGAUAAAGGCCUCUGUCAUGUAUCUUCUCCGGAAGACCUUAUAGGGGAGGCGUAAUGCAACCAGCCUGGACUGAGGUCCGCGCAUCUGCUAGGAUGCUGGCGUAAUGGCUGUAAGCGGCCCGUCUUGAAACACGGACCAAGGAGUCUACCAUCUAUGCGAGUGUUUGGGUGUCAAGCCCGAGCGCGCAAUGAAAGUGAACGGAGGUGGGAACCCUCGGGUGCACCAUCGACCGAUCCUGAUGUCUUCGGAUGGAUUUGAGUAAGAGCAUAGCUGUUGGGACCCGAAAGAUGGUGAACUAUGCUUGAAUAGGGUGAAGCCAGAGGAAACUCUGGUGGAGGCUCGCAGCGGUUCUGACGUGCAAAUCGAUCGUCAAAUUUGGGCAU
rnacentral:rRNA from 1 species